GUCAACUACCCCGCCCUAAAGGGCGGAGCUUGCCCGCCUGCCGCGACGCACCUGCCUGCGCCGCGUGCGUCGCGGCAGGCAGGCGCGGCGCAGACAGGUGAAAGCAAGCUAGGUUGACCAGCCUAAGCCCUGUUAAAGGGGCUACGUGUACAACAGGUCGUUAAGACUCACCGGCGGAUGCUUCCUCAGUCUGCCGCUCUGAAAGAUCAGGAUCAUGCUGACGCAAGGUAAAACGUCGAAGGUUUUGAUCGCCGUGCAAGCGGGAGCCGGUUGUACACAUUGGCGAGGGGAGCGACGA
rfam:Thiorhodospira sibirica ATCC 700588 ctg266, whole genome shotgun sequence.